AGCAGCCGCGGUAAUUCCAGCUCCAAUAGCGUAUAUUAAAGUUGUUGCAGUUAAAAAGCUCGUAGUUGAAUUUCGGGAUCAGUUCGUCGGUCGUGCCUUUGGUAUGUACUGGUGUUACUGGUUCCUCCCUUCUGACGAACCGUCAUGUCAUUAAUUUGGUGUGGCGGGAAAUCAGGACUGUUACUUUGAAAAAUUAGAGUGUUUAAAGCAGGCUCGCGCUUGAAUACAUUAGCAUGGAAUAAUGAAAUAGGACGUUCGAUCCUAUUUUGUUGGUUUCUAGGAUUGACGUAAUGAUUAAUAGGGAUAGUUGGGGGCAUUAGUAUUCAAUUGUCAGAGGUGAAAUUCUUGGAUUUAUUGAAGACUAACUACUGCGAAAGCAUUUGCCAAGGAUGUUUUCAUUAAUCAAGAACGAAAGUUAGGGGAUCGAAGACGAUCAGAUACCGUCGUAGUCU
rnacentral:rRNA from 1 species